CAAACCCAUUGGUGAACCUUACCUAUGUUUCUGUUGCCUCGGCGGCGUCGGUCAGCGCCCCUCUGAGAAGAGGACGAUGCCCCUCCCGCCGGCAGCACCAAACUCUUGAAUUUUACAGCGGAUUACAGUUCUGAUUUGAAAACAAAAAACAAGUUAAAACUUUCAACAACGGAUCUCUUGGUUCUGGCAUCGAUGAAGAACGCAGCGAAAUGCGAUAAGUAAUGUGAAUUGCAGAAUUCAGUGAAUCAUCGAAUCUUUGAACGCACAUUGCGCCCGGCAGUAAUCUGCCGGGCAUGCCUGUCCGAGCGUCAUUUCAACCCUCGAACCUCCGUUUCCUCAGGGAAGCCCAGGGUCGGUGUUGGGGCGCUACGGCGAGUCCUCGCGACCCCCGUAGGCCCUGAAAUACAGUGGCGGUCCCGCCGCGGUUGCCUUCUGCGUAGUAAGUCUCUUUUGCAAGCUCGCAUUGGGUCCCGGCGGAGGCCUGCCGUCAAACCACCUAACAACUCCAGAUGGUUUGACCUCGGAUCAGGUAGGGUUACCCGCUGAACUUAAGAUAU
rnacentral:rRNA from 1 species